CCUAAACAGCUGAUGUCAGACGAAGCUGUAACCCAAAGACCAAAGAUCAGUCUGAAUUGGCCUUCGUGGAGUCUCAAGCCAAUAAGAAAGGAACAUGUGAUGGAUUAGUGGCGCAGCUGCAGUGUUGGUCAUUAAAGUAAACAGCACUUAAGAUAACUUAGGGUCCAAAGUCCUCUGGAGAAGAAUCAUUGAGUGUUUGGAGAAGAAGGAAGUGUGAUUCCAUGGGGAACAGCAGCUUCACCACAAUACUCCCUUGCUAUGGACUCCAGCCAGAGACUGUGGGCUUAUGCAAACAGUGACUUGAACAACUGGCAAAGUAGGCAACCAUUCGAAGUUUAAACACUUGCCAAUGGAAGACUACUAUUUUUAUCUCUCGCUUCAAAUGGCACUGAACAAACUAGAAUGAAACCAGAGAAGAACUGAGGGUGUUC